UUUAUGGAGAGUUUGAUCCUGGCUCAGGAUGAACGCUGGCGGCGUGCCUAAUACAUGCAAGUCGAGCGGUAAGGCUUUCACAGAUUAUUUAAACGGUUAAGUCCCCUAGGGGAUACUAUCCGACAACACAACUCACUAGGCUAGUGAACAGUGGUUGAAUAAUGUGUGAAAGUACACGAGCGGCGGACGGCUGAGUAACGCGUAGGAACGUACCCUAAAGUGAGGGAUAAGCACCGGAAACGGUGUCUAAUACCGCAUGUGAUCUAAGGAUUAAAGCCUUCGGGCGCUUUGGGAGCGGCCUGCGUAUGAUUAGUUUGUUGGUGAGGUAAUGGCUCACCAAGACUACGAUCAUUAGCUGGUCU
rnacentral:rRNA from 1 species